rnacentral:rRNA from 1 species
CAGCGCCACGAGUGGGAAUCACAUUUAUUGGGCCUAAAGCGUCCGUAGCCGGCCAUGUAAAUCUCUUGUGAAAUCGUUGGGCUUAACUCAACGGCGUGCAGGAGACACUGCAAGGCUUGGGACCGGGAGGGGUCAGAGGUAUUCCGGGGGGAGCGGUAAAAUGCUAUAAUCCUUGGAAGACCACCGGUGGCGAAGGCGUCUGACCAGAACGGAUCCGACGGUGAGGGACGAAAGCCAGGGGAGCAAUCCGGAUUAGAGACCCGAGUAGUCC